GAUGAACGCUGGCGGCGUGCCUAAUACAUGCAAGUCGAGCGAAUGGAUUAAGAGCUUGCUCUUAUGAAGUUAGCGGCGGACGGGUGAGUAACACGUGGGUAACCUGCCCAUAAGACUGGGAUAACUCCGGGAAACCGGGGCUAAUACCGGAUAACAUUUUGAACCGCAUGGUUCGAAAUUGAAAGGCGGCUUCGGCUGUCACUUAUGGAUGGACCCGCGUCGCAUUAGCUAGUUGGUGAGGUAACGGCUCACCAAGGCAACGAUGCGUAGCCCACCUGAGAGGGUGAUCGGCCACACUGGGACUGAGACACGGCCCAGACUCCUACGGGAGGCAGCAGUAGGGAAUCUUCCGCAAUAGACGAAAGUCGGACGGAGCAACGCCGCGUGAGUGAUGAAGGCUUUCGGGUCGUAAAACUCUGUUGUUAGGGAAGAACAAGUGCUAGUUGAAUAAGCUGGCACCUUGACGGUACCUAACCAGAAAGCCACGGCUAACUACGUGCCAGCCGCCGCAGUAA
rnacentral:rRNA from 1 species